rnacentral:tRNA from 1 species
GCCUUCGUGGGGUAGUGGUCAGCGUGCCGGACGCGUAUUCGAGAGGUCCGUGGUUCGAGUCCCGGCGAGGGCA